AGAACCAAUAUUGCAAGAGAAAUAGAGUGCAGUCUCUGGUCUCCCUCUGUAGGCUUGCAUAACAGUUUGCCACCCCCACCUUAUUCUUCAACCUAAAACCACCAUUUCUGCUUCUCCCCUCUCCACCAAGUACUUCUGUUUUCUCUUUAUCCACCGCCGUUAACUUCCUCGGCCGGCCACCUGAACAACAAUCGGCGUCUUAAACCCUCAACCCAACUGUCAAAACCCUAAAAAGGUAUGGACUUCCAACAUCAGCAUCCGUACAAUCGACCACCACCACCACCACCACCGUUACCACCACCGUCCAUGGCGGAUCCUCACUAUCAGCUCCCGCAUUCUCAACGACCACCGGUUCCGGCACCGGGUUCAUGGUACUCGAACCAAUUCCAAUACCACCCAACCCCUCAGCAAUCUCCCCCUCCUCCUCCUCCUCCUCCUCCUCAGCUGCAACAGUGGGGUCCUCCCCCUCCCCCUCCUCCUCCGUUUCCUGGACCUCCUCAGGGAGCUUAUCCACACCAUCAUUUACAACAACAGGCCCAGUAUCCACCUCCUCUUCCCCCGCGGCCUCAUAUUCCCCAAUCUUCUCCUCAUGGAAAUCAGGACUGGGGCAGUAUGAACUGGGGUCAACAGCAAAAUUGGGGAAACUCAGUAGCACCUAGCAAUGAAGAUUGGGCUGCAAAGGCCCGAGCAUGGGCUGCUGACAAGGCUGCUAAUGACCAUCAGCACCAGAACUCGCAAUUUACGCAUGAUAGCAGGCCAGAACAACAGAGUCAUUACUAUGAACAAUAUACUCAAUCUGCUGAUCAACAUCUCCAAGACAUGCAACAACCACCAGUUCUGCCGUCAAGUAAUCAUCACUCCAUAACUCCUGUGGCACCUCCUCAGAAGCCAUCGUUUGGCCAUUCGCAGGAACCCUCAUUCUUCAGCCCUGGGCAAUCUCCUUAUGUCCUACCUUAUACUGCAAGAGAUGGAAAUUUCACCGGAGAUUCAGUUGCUUCAUUCCCUCAGCAAGGAAACUCAUCCAUAAGUCCAUUAGUCCAUCAGCAGGAGGUACCUUCUAGUUAUUCUUCUAUUGCAGGUAAAGAAGAGGCUGGGAAUCGACAUGAGGCGUUCUAUGGUUCUUCACCUUUGCCUGCCAACUCUUCACAUCAUCAUCAUGCCCAACUAAUGCCAGCACCCAAUAAAGCUGCAGUGAUGGAAGAGCGUCAUUACGUGAUGGGUCCUGAUCUUAGUGAUCAGCCUUUGGAUUUUGCACCUCGUUUUAGUCAUGAGCAUGACCGGCAUUCCCAACCCUAUUAUGUUCGUGCUGAUUCAGGAGGUUCUGUGGGGGGUGCUGAUCCUGUUUCAACAAUGCCUUCCAAUUAUGUGUGGCCUUCUUCUGCUGCUCCUGGUUCUGCAUAUCCUCCUCUUCCUCCAAUGCCUCCAGUUGGGUCUCAGGUUGAUCCUUCUGUUGUUGGAGCUUCUCCAGCCCCUGAACAUACUGCAUCACUCUUUGGAAGGGCACAGAGUUCAAGCUUCCAUCCCACUGUCCCGUCAGUUGGUGCACAUUUUGGUGUUGGUGCGGGGGCCGCUCUGCAUCCUGCAGCAGCUUUCCCUGCUGAUGCAUAUGGGAUUUCUGAUCGCCCUAAGAAGGCUGCUGUUCCAAACUGGCUUAGAGAGGAAAUAAUAAAGAAGAAAGCUGUCAUUACAACUUCAACUGCAGAGCUUCCAAAGGAGGAUUCUCAAUCUAUUGAAGAUGAAGGUGUCAAUAAAUCUUAUCGGAAAGGUGACCAGGCUGAUAGCAAAAGCAUUGAUUCUUCAAGGUCAACCGAGGAUGAUGAUGAUGAUGAGGUUGAGGUGGAAGCAGCACGAACUGCAGCAAUGAAUCAAGAAAUAAAGCGUGUCCUAACUGAAGUUCUUUUAAAGGUUACUGAUGAGCUAUUUAGUGAGAUUGCGACAAGGGUUCUUAGCGAAGAGGAUCUCUCUGUUGAUGUUGAGCAAAAAACGGGUGCUUCAAGUCAGAAGGUGUUAACAUCUGUUCAAGCUGUUACAACUCCCAAGGCCUCUGCCAAGGUUCUGAUACCACUCAAACCUAAAGAUACUCAUUCUGUUAAUGCCAGUGAAAAGUCUACUUCCACUUCUCCUGUGGAUCUAUUAGGCUUGGCUAACUAUGCGUCAGAUGAUGAGGAUGACAAUGAAAUCCAGAGUUCUGAUAAACAAAAGACCAAAGAGCAUGGAAAUGGAAAAUCACGUGAAGAAUCCGAGGAUCAUGAUAGAUCUCCUGCCAACCUGGAGAAAAAUCCUCAAAAAAUGAGUCCCAAUGUCGGCACUGAUGACAGGUCAACUAGAUAUUCUGCACAUGAAGAUGCUGGGGGCUCCUUUAAGACUGAAUCUAGAGUUCCAGAGGAUAAGAUGCCAGGUGGGAAGGAUGCUGUGAAAACUGAAAAGACAUCCCAGACUCCUGACUGCAAAAAGACUAAGAUAGAUCAUUCCAGAAGCGAAGACAAAAGAGAUAAGCCAGAUAAGAGCGGUAAACGUGAAGUUAGAAAAGGUUCUGGCACAAAUGAUAAUGGUAUGCUUACAAGCUCAAAGGACAGAAAAACUGAGAUAGAUGAAGGAAACCAUGGGAAUCAUGAGGAAAGACUAGCUAGAAAGGAAAAAGUGGGUGAUCUAGAUGGUUCAAAAGAUAUUGUGAAGGAGAAAAGCCGUAAGUCCGGGGAAAAAGCCAAGGAAUCUGACUCAAGGAAAAGGCCUUCGCCUUCUAAUGUCAAGGAAGAAAGGAAGGAAAAAGGAAGGGACAGCAGAGCUGGUGUUGCCAUAGAUAAUGGUAGAAAAAGAGAGAGAACGAAGGAUGAAAAGAGAGAAAAAUCUAGACGUAAAGAUGAAAGGGGCUCCAGCAGACGUAAAAGGCAUCGUUCAUCUUCUAAUGAUAGCAGGGGUAGAGAGAGCAAGGACAAGUCAACCCGUGCCAAUGAUCCCAGUGAUGAAUCUUCAGAUGAUUCUAGAAGGAAGGCGCAACCAAAUAGACACAGAUCUCCAUCACCACUAAGGUCAAGGAAAAGGUAUACUACAACAAAAGAUGUAGCUCCCCUUCAAAAGUGCUACAACUUAUAGAGAAGACGGCCUUAAUCUCCAUUAGUACCUGUAAACAAUCUAGCACAUCAAAGAUGUUUUCUGUCCUAGUUAAUAUAUCUUAUUAAUAUCAAAAAUAAAAAAGUGCUAAGCAAUUCAUUUUGAUCUUCUGUAAGCUGUUCUGCACAUUCUCAGAACUCCUGUUGUUUCUGUCUUUCCAAAGUGUCCACUGAAUGCAUGGUGGGACAAGUUUCCAUCUCUUCUCUUUAUCUGAAGAUUUCCCAUCUCUAUCCCAGCUGCUUAGAACUCCUUUAGUGCUCCAUGGUUUCACCCAUCUUAUCCCCUGUAGUCUGAUGAACAUUCUCCAUAUCUGGUCUGUCCGUGUACAAUGCAGAAAAAGUUGGUUAAUUGUCUCUGCAUGCUCUCCACAUAAAGUACAUCUAGGGGCCAACUGAUAGCCUCUUUUGUUUAAACUUUCAUGAGUCAAAACUGCUUCUUUUGUCAACAACCACACGAAACUGUUUACUUUAUAGGGUGCUUUUGGUUUCCAGCUCAUCUUCAAUGGCCAAUCUGUAUUGACCUUCGGUGUCAUUCUUCCAAAUCGGCAAGUCCUUUUCAAUGAGGUUGCUGGAUGAGCCUACUGAAUCUUGAAAAUCUGUCACUUUGUCUAUCUCCCUGUCAUGAAGGUUCCCUCUUAGGAACAAAUUCCAUCCUUGUCCUGUUCACGUUGUAGCCACAGAGUCCUGCUAAGUUGUUCGGACUCUUCAAAAUUGCUACUGCACCCGUGUCAGAUCCUCCAAAAAUGCACUACUUUUGGAGGAUCCCACACGCUCCCGUCGACGUUUUUGAUGUUGGCAUAAAAUAAACAAAUAGGAACUUCCCCAUUCCAUUUGUCCUCUUAGAAGGAUGUCUUAAAACCACUCCCACUUGUACCCUAGUUCUAUAAUAUAGCACUGGCCAUAAAUUUCUGAUUUCCCUCCAAACAGUGCAUUUGUACGGAGUACGUACCAUUUUAGUCAUCCACGUAUCUUCUAUACCAUAUUUUGCUGUGAUGACCUCUUUCCAGAGCAUGUGUUCUUCAUUAAGUAACUUCCGCAACCACUUCAUCAUUAGGCUGUGAUUUUGGUUCCUCUGGUUUUUUAUGCCUAGACCUCCUGUAUUCUUACUCACUAUCAGUUCCUCCCAUUUAACUAGAUGGAACUUCUUCUUAUCUUCACUGCCUUGCUAUAGGAAAUUUCUUUAAAGGGCAUCAAUGCUCUUAGAUACAUUGGCAAGCAUAGAAAAGAUAUACAUCAAAUAAGAGGGUAAUGCAUUAAUCACACUGUUGAUUAAAGUCAAUCUUCCUCCCCAGGACAAGUACUGGCACUUCCAGUUAGUAAGUCUCUUUCCACAUUUCUCCAGGACCCCAUUCCAUAUGCCUUUGGAUGUGCUUUUAGCUCCCAAAGGCAUGCCUAGGUAAGUCAUUGGGAGCUGCCCAACCUUGCCUCCUAGGUUACUGGGCAAAAUAUCUGUAGUAAGCACACUGUUGAAUAGGAUAGAUGAAGCUCUUCCCCCAGUUUAUGUGGAGACGAGAAAUGGCUUCAAAAAUGACAAAAAUAACCCUCAAUAUCUGAAUUAACUGUUCACUACUUAAUUGGGUAUUUGGGUUAGUAAUGUGAGGGGGGGGGGGUUGUCUGAUAGUCCCGAACCUAAAUAAUGAACAGAAAGACACUUGACCACAAUAAAAUGUCAGAAUGAAAUUUACAUCUUUUACAUAUAGUGCACUAAUGUAGUGUGCUAUAUGAGACUUGGAUAAGGGACUUCUUAAAAAUACGUUCCACGUAUUUUGCAUUGUAUCCCUAGCACUCUAAUACUAUUUAGGUUCCACACUCUAGUACUGUUUUCCUUUUUCUUUUUGCGUUGUUUUUCUUUGAUCUUUAACUCCAUUGUUUACUAUUUCUACUGUAUGCAAACAUUUCUGAUUUCCUGUAUAUCUUCCACUCAACAAGGUAUGCGAGUCUUAGAGAUAUUGUGGGAGCAAACUAACAUCAGGCAAUGAUCUAGCAGACAACUUUCUGCUGAAUGAAAUAAAAGACUUUGGCACAUACUAAAAGUUUCUGCGGAUCUUGUGGAACAUGCUAAAGUUAGACUUCCAUAUAUAGGAAAGUGUGACUCUUUUCAGAAAAGAAUCCAGACUUUAAAGGAGCGUCCUAAAAAAUGAAAUGAAGCAUUUGUGUUCUUUUUAUUCAGAGGAGAACUUCAACUGAAGCUAGUAAAGACCUUACUUUAAAGUUUAUAGUAAAUAUAUAACUAGUGUGAUGAAUUAUUUCAUGAAGAACAUCCAUGGAGGUGUGGACUAAUGAAAACAACACAUUCCCAUGGAAAAGACUGCACGGUUGAGUCACUACUAAUUAAAUGUGCUUAGGAGGCUGCACAACAAAAGGCAUGAUGAGGGUUUACUCGUUACAUCCUGGUACUUGUAGGUCAAAACAGCUAAGCACACAACAGAGUAAUCCUACUUCCCCUUGUGAGUGAAUUAAAAUAGCUGAUAGUUUGGACUUGCAAUAAGAGCUAAGAUGGAUUUCUGUUAGUUUCAUCAUGGUGUUAUUACCUGGUUUAAUAGUUUGUUACAAUCAAUUCAGCAUCACUAAUUUGUAGUGCGUCUCGACAUAUCUUUUGCAAGUGUUGUACAUGUCAUCUAUCUGAUUUAACAUCUAAACAUUUUGUAGAGUUAGAAACUCGAUGGGUUAUUCACCCACUUAAUGAUGCAUUGCCCUUUUUGGACGAGUACUCCCUUGGUUGUUUAUCAUUUAACAUAUUAACAGUACUAAUGCCAUUUAGCUUAUAAAUAAAAUACUAAUACCAUGUAUUCUAGUAAUCAAUACAUUGAUUACUCAAAUUGUGUACUCUGUUGUCACCUGCUUUUUGCUAGAGUUAUAAGUCAUUGCUUAUGCCAUAGUGAGUGGUCCCUGUGGACAUGAUUAUUAGUCUUAUAUUUUAGAUGCCUAUGCCAUUAAAAAAAAACUAAAAUAUGCCUAUGCCAUUAAAAAAAAAUUAAAAUGCUUGAUAGAGAACUAUUUAUGUUACUUACGUAAAAGAUUCAUAAUUAGGGUAUUUGCUUGUGAUCCCAAAUUGCUAUGCUCAUGUCUUGUGAAUUCCUUUAAGGUGGUUUUUGAGGGGUGAUGUGUUAUGUCAAAAGAUAAUUUAUAGGAGUUGGACCAAUUUCUUUGUUGAAUAUCCUUCAUGCUGAUUUUAGCCCUAUGAAUGAAUUACCCAAAUCUUUUAGAAGGGAUGACUUCCAGUUGAAUUUUGUGAGGUUUACUUUUCACAUGGAAUAUUUAGGUAAGCUUUAAAGUUUCCAUGAUGUGUUUCAUCAGUAGUGUCUCCUUAGAUAGUUUGAUUCAUUUUCAAAUGAUUAGAAGGAUUAUGCAAUUUUAUUUUCAAGCUAUAAUUUUGCAGUAAAUUAGUAGGACUCAGCUGUUGGAAAUUAUUUAAAAAGGGUUACAAAUUCCGCAAUUAAAGUUGUUUUAGAAUUGUUUACCAAACGGGUAGAGUCGUUCACUUCAUCAAGUUGAAGUUGACGUAAGUGUAAAUGAAAUUCCCAUCACAGGGUUUCCCCAACAUCAAUAAUUUCCUUUUGAUGGCCGUGGUGUCCGGGCCAACUUUCGUGCACCUCGACUAAUUCUACAGGAUACCUUACCACCUCCCACCAGCAAAAGGUACCGGUAACUCUGUACACCAAUGCUAGGACAGAUGCGAGCAUUCAUUUUUAUAUAAAAUUAGGCAAACACUAUGGGGGUGGUUAUAGUGGGUGGGAGGGAAGGAGGGAGUGGGGGUAGGGUUGAAACUGUCAGUUUGGGAGUUGGUGAAUGUUUCCCCUCUUGGUAGAGAAGGCAUCAUUCUGAAAUUGUUGAAAAAUGAGUUUAUGAGGAAAACAUUUUUCCAAACAUAUAAACCACCCAAUCAUGGAAAAAUUGGAAACAUGUUUCCUCCAUACCAAACACACCCUCAGCACCAUUAAUUAUAAAGGAAUUGGUAAAGAGGCUUAGCUAUCAAUUAGAUGACUUGUGAUUCAAAAUUAUAAUGAUAAUGAAAUGACUGCUUUAUUGUUUUGAUAAACUCUUCGUAAGCAGAUACUAUUACAGGAUUUUGGGCCAGGAAUUAAUACUCUCAUCAAGAAGAAAAGACUAUGAACUGCCACCACUGUUUUGAAUGUGAAAUUUCAUAGUCUAAGUCCUUUUCAAGAUUGAGGCAAUUUCACCUCAAAAUCCUUUGAUAAUGAUCAUUAGCUGUCUAUAACUUAUUAAAAAAGGUUGCAACCAUACGGAGUUCAAAUUCUUCUAGAGCCUGAGUAUAUAUAGUAGGUUGAGAAUUUGUAUCCAAAAUAUUGUAUCUUUUUGUCACGACUUACUUGUUUAGCAUGUAAUCUUUUUAUUUUUAGACACGUUUCGCGGUCUCCUCAUAGCAAGCACACUCAGCGCAGGCGUUCUCCUUACCCUGCUAGUGAAAGCAUCAGGGGAAGGAGGUCAAGGUCGAGAUCAAGAUCAAGGUCUCCUAAUCGUAGGAGAAGAUGAGCAAACAAAUACCUGGAGUCAAGAUAGAGUACUUAAGACUAAUGCCCUUGCAUAUUCUUAUUGGCUACCGCUUUUGGCUGUUAAGUAGAUAAUGGAUGCAUCAGUUGACCUGUUCGAAAUCCUCUGUACUGCCUUUGGCUGUUAAGUAUGACAAUAGAUAUGCAAGUUGACCUAUUAAAAUCUCGGUUUCAGAUUGUGGCUCACAGGAGUAAAGCUGCGAUACUCUCGUGCAGAGGACUAAUGAUAUGAAAGAUUUAUGGUGCCUGUAUCUGUUAUCAGCUUGUCUGUUGUUGACAUUUGCGACAGUAUUAGUUAUGAUUUUGAGGUUGAUAAAUUUUGUUAGCUGUACAUUGUAUUUUGGAGGUUGAGGUGUGUCUAAAGGAGAGGUGAACGAACACUUGAACAUCCAUGACCUUUUUACAUUUGGUACUAGUAAUCUUGGAAGUUGGGGAGUCCCAGAUCCUCAUUGUUAUGCAAUCUUAUAUAAUUCUACAUAGUUUCCUUGUGAGAAAAAAAACAUAAUAUUGAUGAAGAAGAGCAUUGUGUUUCCGGAGAAGUGUAUUUAUGCUAAUUCCUGGACAUGCUUAUAUUGAAAAAAUGUCAGCUAUUCAGUUGUGAUUGCUCCCCAGGGGUUGCCAUUUUAUGAUAGGGAUGGCUGAUAAAUGUUCCAUGUAAAGUAUAAAUGCCUGUCAAAAAAGGAAAAGAAAAACUUGGUGGAGUGUGGAUCAACUUAGAAACUGUAAUAAUUUUUAGAAUGUGUAUUUCAUUUUUGUUAAUCUCAAAGCAAAGGGACUGGGAAAAACUUAGAAUUGUUAAUAUGUUUUUGUGUUCUUGUAUCAAACCAUACAUUAUUAUUA